rnacentral:rRNA from 1 species
UACGAAGGGGGCUAGCGUUACUCGGAAUUACUGGGCGUAAAGGGCGCGUAGGCGGCACCGCAAGUCGACUGUGAAAUCUCCGGGCUUAACCCGGAAAGGUCAGCCGAUACCGCGGGGCUAGAGUGCAGAAGGGGCAACUGGAAUUCUCGGUGUAGCGGUGAAAUGUGUAGAUAUCAGGAGGAACACCGGCGGUGUAGACGGCUUUCUGGACCGUAGCUGACGCUGAGACACGAAAGCGUGGGUAGCAAACAGG